rnacentral:rRNA from 1 species
UACAGAGGUGGCAAGCGUUGUUCGGAAUUACUGGGCGUAAAGAGCUCGUAGGUGGUUUGUCGCGUUGUUCGUGAAAACCUGAGGCUUAACCUUGGGCGAGCGGGCGAUACGGGCAGACUGGAGUACUGCAGGGGAGACUGGAAUUCCUGGUGUAGCGGUGGAAUGCGCAGAUAUCAGGAGGAACACCGGUGGCGAAGGCGGGUCUCUGGGCAGUAACUGACGCUGAGGAGCGAAAGCGUGGGGAGCGAACAGG